CACCACCUCUAAGAGGAGGCUCAAACAAUCCCACAACAUCUGUGACAUCUUAGCAACACAUGAUUAUGUAGACCCUUGGAGAAUAACACACCCUAAUGACACAGACUACACCUGCCACACGGCAGUACAUAACAGCUACUCAAGAAUAGACAGGUUCCUGAUUAGGACUACCACCGUCAUGAAAGUACUAGAGGCAGACAUCGGAG